rnacentral:rRNA from 1 species
UACGUAGGGUGCAAGCGUUAAUCGGAAUUACUGGGCGUAAAGCGUGCGCAGGCGGCUUUGCAAGACAGAUGUGAAAUCCCCGGGCUUAACCUGGGAACUGCAUUUGUGACUGCAUGGCUGGAGUGCGGCAGAGGGGGAUGGAAUUCCGCGUGUAGCAGUGAAAUGCGUAGAUAUGCGGAGGAACACCGAUGGCGAAGGCAAUCCCCCUGGGCCUGCACUGACGCUCAUGCACGAAAGCGUGGGGAGCGAACAGGA